AGAGCCCAAACCAAGAAGCUUGCUGCUGGGGGUUGUAGGACACUCUAUACGGAGUUACAAAAGAAAGUUAUAAAGGAAGCGGUCUGGAAAGGCCCGCCAAAGACGGUAACAGCCCGGUAGUUGAAAUGGCUUUCCCUCCAGAGUGGAUCCUGAGUACGGCGGAACACGUGAAAUUCCGUCGGAAUCCGGGAGGACCAUCUCC
rnacentral:rRNA from 1 species